AAAAUGAUAACAUUAAACUGUAAACUGUAUGGAAAAAUGGUAAAGCUGUGCAAAAGGAGAGGUGUACAGGUUUAUUCAUAUUGUAGGAUGUAGGUAAUGUCCAGCAUCCUAUUCACAGUGAAGAGUUCCUCAAAAGUUGUUCAAACUCACCUUUGGAUAGUUUUGCAGCCAGAGACAAAAUGUAAGAGAGAUCUAUUGCUUGGCUUUGCUCUGUCUAAGGAUUGUCCCCAAACCUUUGUGGUGUUAAUAUACCUUAGUGGCAUUAAUAUCUCCUUAGUAAUAGGGAAGUCUUGCAGUGUGGUAGCCUGGGUACUCAUAAACCUUGUGCUGCUAUAACACAUAAUCUCAUUUAGAACUGCAUUUGCAUAUAGCAGGAUCAUUUGGUUCUUAUGUUUAGUUCCACAGGAUGGACCAAUGACAGCAUCCAACUCUUCUUGGACUUGUUCUGCAGAACAAAAGGGCUAAUAAUGAGUAUUUAAGAAGAUGCACCAUCAUGGAGAGCUCAGCAUAAGGUGAUGGUGGUGUCUGAGCCCACUAUGAAGGGAUACAUGAUCUCUGAGAUCUGUGAUGUAGAGGUGCGCAUCAACUCUGAUGAUUACUGACACUUGCAACACCUUCCCAAAACAAGCAGAACUCUGGGGAAGAGAAACUUCUGUCUUAGAGCAACCUGCAAAAUCGUAACACCGCAGGACUCCUCUGUCUCAACCUUUCUACAUCUGUAGGAUAUGAUCUUCAAGCAGUUGUUUAACUGGUUCUCUUGGGAACAGCUACAUAGAACCAAAGGCACUUACAGGAGGUUGGGAGGUGGUACCCAAAUUAAGCAUGUCAUUCACAAUUCCUCUGAAUCAUGUUCUUUACAUGAUCCUCAUAGAUAAAUGAUUGGUGUAAGUGCAGCAAAACCACUAAUCAAUAUUUUCUGGUCUGUACUCUGUUGGAUUGUACCAAUGUCUCUUUUGAGGGUGAUAACAGAAAGCAGCAGCCCACAGCCAGUGAAAGUGUACAAUGGAAGUGGUAAUCCUGGCAGCUUUAGUAGUAAGAUAGGUAAUACCAUUUCCUCUCUGCAACUCUAAUCACAAGAAAACAGAAGUGAAGCUUUCUACAGCAGAAAAGAGAUUACAUCCUUUUAACUGCCUUUUUUGUAACCUUGCACUAUUACUGCAAUCAAUAAUUUCAAGAAAGCUUAUUCCCUAAUUCUUAUAUCUUGUAUAGUGAUAUGGUCAUCUCUGCAUGCUCUGCUGCACAUUAACAAGCUACAUAUAACAAACCCCUUUGAAGGAAUAUCGAGUGCUAAUGUAUGAUAGCACAGGUUGUUCCCAGGUUCCCAGCACUGAUGCGUUGACACUGAACAACACUGAAACAGGGGAAAAUUCUAAAGUCUUACCUGGCACUUGACAAAACCUCUGAAAAUUUGCUGAAAUUUAGUGGGGCCUCUGGGACUUCCACACUUGGUCUGCUGGCAUCCCACAGGGCUUAUAUUUAACAUCGCCUGGUAUGGAUUUGUCUCUUCAGGAGCACCUCUCCUGUGUCAUCUGAGAGCAUACCAGUUGCCAAGGAAGCUCAGAAUUAAAAGAGAAAUGGUAAAUUCUGAUAAUUGCAAUGUUAGAAAGUAUAGAAACAAUGAAGUAGGAAAAUACAUGUGAAAUAGAUCCCUUCUGCAGGCAGACACCAGGUCUCCUCUCGGUCAUCCAUUCACUGCCUUAACUAUAAGCCAGCAGUGGCAGAUCCUGUCUUAGACCAGACCCAGUUCUGAGUCACCAUGGCUCUGACAACAAUACCUACCAACAGUUUGGACCUCACUAUGGCAGUGGGGUCUUCAUUCUCCUUCCUUCUGCAUAUGUUUAAGAGCAUUUGUCCUUGUUGCAGCUUGGGUAACUGGCAGGCACAGUUAACAGCACAAAGAAUUCACCCUCUCAGUUUGUGUAUUUCUUGGACACACAUCGCCUGUGGCAUGUUGAUUUCCUUACAUGGGAACCAUCUUCCUAAUCAGAAGAUCAUUCAAUACUGGUUUUACCUGGUUUCUCUUUUCCCAGGAUGGUAGGACUGUCUCUCCUAGAUGAUAUGGCUUUCCACAUAACAGUCUCCAUGGCUCUUCGCAAACAAGCAACAUUUGCAUUAGAAAAUUUAGAAAAUUAGAAAUCAGGUUUGUGUAACACUUCUGAUUCAUUCUGAGUCAAAGUGCUGGGUUGUGUCCUUGAAGGCAAAACACAUACCUCUUUGAAUGCCAGAGUUGCCAGUCAUUUUCCCCUCCUCUAGCAGCUUGAGAAUCCAGGCCACUCUGUGACAUCCUUAAGUCAUGUCUCUCCUUUUGCUGCAUUCUGGAGAGAAUUUUUUACUGAGAAUUUCUUAUUCAUGAGGUCACACUGGAGAGCGAUAGACCUUAAAGAAUAAUGGGCUGGGGAAGAGUGGGUCCUUAACUGAAAUGUACUAGUGACUAUAUAUAUUACCACCAAAUAUGGCAAAAGGAAGAUAGGUAGGCUGGUGUCAUUUAGGCUGGUAUUUUUUUAAGGAGAGAGGCUUAAAUAAAACCAUAUUUACUGCGCAGAGUGCCACAGAUUUUUCUGGAAGUUCAGUCCUGCUGAAUACCUUACCACUUUACCUCUGUAACUUUAUUUUAACUCUGAAACCUCUCCAUUAGGCUGCCUGCAGUAAUAAACUGAAGUUUUUCAAAUUGAUUUAGCUAUUCCCUGAGGGUUAAAAUACUGCUUUCUUAACUCAGUUUUGUCUGAGUCACACACACUCCAUUUUCAUUCCCUCUUAGGCUCGGAAGGCUCCCCUAAAUCCACCUUUUUCUCCAUGAACUCUGGCAGUGAUGUAUAUUUUUGCAAGAGUAAGCUA